AUGUCUUCUACUAGUUCUGCCCGGUCAGGUUUCCGCGGCAGGACAGUGGUGGUGCCACUCAUCCCAUGUCCUCACUGCCAGGCGACGGUGAGGUACUAUGUUUCGAACACAGAGGAUCAUGAGGGCCGGGUGUUCUACAGAUGUCCCAAUCACGCCCCUACUGGGUGUGAUUUCUGGUUUUGGGAGAUGGAAUAUGUUGCGUACCUAGUGGAUGCUCAUUUCUUGGUUGGGAACCAAGUUGUGGAUGCCGUUGGAGCAACAGAGGAGAGGAGGGAAGACUUCAUUAGUGCUAUGAAUGAAAGGAGAAGGAUUGCAGCUCAACUGGCAAAAUAG
rnacentral:rRNA from 1 species